rnacentral:rRNA from 1 species
AUUGAACGCUGGCGGAAUGCUUUACACAUGCAAGUCGAACGGCAGCACGGACUUCGGUCUGGUGGCGAGUGGCGAACGGGUGAGUAAUGUAUCGGAACGUGCCCAGUCGUGGGGGAUAACGUAGUGAAAAUUACGCUAAUACCGCAUACGAUCUAUGGACGAAAGCGGGGGUUCGGAAGACCUCGCGCGAUUCGAGGGGCCGAUCUCCGAUUAGGUAGUUGGUGGGGUAAAGGCCCACCAAGCCAACGAUCGUUAGCUGGUCUGGGAGGAGGACAGGCCACACUGGAACUGAGACACGGUCCAGACUCCUACGGGAGGCGGCAGUGGGGAAUUUUGGACAAUGGGCGAAAGCCUGAUCCAGCCAUUCCGCGUGCAGGAUGAAGGCCCUCGGGUUGUAAACUGCUUUUGUACAGAACGAAAAGGUUUCUACUAAUACUAGGAGCUCAUGACGGUACUGUAAGAAUAAGCACCGGCUAACUACGUGCCAGCCGCCGCCGUAA